AACGAACGCUGGCGGCAGGCUUAACACAUGCAAGUCGAGCGCCCCGGUAACGGGGAGCGGCAGACGGGUGAGUAACGCGUGGGAAUCUACCCAACCCUACGGAAUAACGCAUGGAAACGUGUGCUAAUACCGUAUACGCCCUUUUGGGGAAAGAUUUAUCGGGGAUGGAUGAGCCCGCGUUGGAUUAGCUAGUUGGUGGGGUAAAGGCCUACCAAGGCGACGAUCCAUAGCUGGUCUGAGAGGAUGAUCAGCCACAUUGGGACUGAGACACGGCCCAAACUCCUACGGGAGGCAGCAGUGGGGAAUAUUGGACAAUGGGCGCAAGCCUGAUCCAGCCAUGCCGCGUGAGUGAUGAAGGCCUUAGGGUUGUAAAGCUCUUUCACCGGGGAAGAUAAUGACGGUACCCGGAGAAGAAGCCCCGGCUAACUUCGUG
rnacentral:rRNA from 2 species